rnacentral:rRNA from 1 species
UACGUAGGGGGCAAGCGUUGUCCGGAUUUAUUGGGCGUAAAGAGCGUGUAGGCGGCUUUGCAAGUCCGUUGUGAAAACUCGAGGCUCAACCUCGAGACGCCGGUGGAAACUGCAAAGCUAGAGUCCGGAAGAGGAGAGUGGAAUUCCUGGUGUAGCGGUGAAAUGCGCAGAUAUCAGGAAGAACACCCGUGGCGAAGGCGGCUCUCUGGGACGUGACUGACGGCUGAGACGCGAAAGCGUGGGGAGCAAACAGG